CGUAAACAAAGGGAAGCGAAGCGGUGACGCCUGGCAAAUCCCAGAAAUAACGUCCCAGUUCGGAUUGUAGUCUGCAACCCGACUACAUGAAGCUGGAAUCGCUAGUAAUCGCGAAUCAGAAUGUCGCGGUGAAUACGUUCCCGGGUCUUGUACACACCGCCCGUCACACCAUGGGAGCCGGGAAUGCCCGAAGUCGGUGACCCAACCGUAAGGAGGGAGCCGCCGAAGGCAGGCCUGGUAACUGGGGUGAAGUCGUAACAAGGUAUC
rnacentral:rRNA from 1 species